AUGCUCCCUCCGUCCCGAAAUAUAGGUCGCUGGACAAAUCGUUCCGACCAUGUGAAAACCAGGGAAAUGACCUUAUUACCCCCGCUAAGUUUAAGUCGCUCCUCUCCGAUCGUCUUCCACCUGCGCCUCCGCCAAGAUCCUCCACCCAGGUCCUCCUCUGCCCUUCCCCGCGCAGGGUCGCCGGUGCUGCUCCUUCCCCGCCCAGGGUCGCCGGUGCCGCUCCUUCCCCGCCGCUGCUCCUUCCCUGCCGCUGCCGUGGGAGUUGGGCAGGCGAAUAUCUAUGUUAAUUCUGGAAACAAUUAA
rnacentral:rRNA from 1 species